AAAAUGAUGACAUGAUUAAUUCUGUAGCAAAAUACAUACAUAAGUAACUAAAAAAUUCCCAAAGUAAAUUUAUAAUAAAAUAAACAUUAUAAAAUUGCAAUAAACAAUAAAAAAGUUACAUAAAUUCUUAAUGAAAAAUAGUUUAUGAUCGAAUUAAAUUAUGAUUUGUCCAAAACACCAACAAAACUAAUCUAAUAGUCAAACUCAAAUAGAAAUCCUAAACAUGCAAUAAAAAAAAAACUUGUCACUUAUUAUUUGUGUUUCUCAUAUCAUUGACUAUAUUUCUCAUGUCAUUAAAGUUCUUCGGUUGUCUACUUUUCUCAUAUCAUUGACCAUAUUUCUCAUGUCAAAAUGAUGUUUUUUAGAAGUUGUCUCAGGUGAAGUGUAUGUUUGAGAAGAGUUUUCAUGAAAAAUGGACGUGCCAUAUGAUCCAAGCCCAUAAAUUCUUCUCUUAUGGUCAUGUCCUCCGAUAGAUGUAUAAAACAGUUCACUUUCAUCAACUUCCUUUCCUAACAGUGCCAAAUCCGCACGUCGAGACACAAAAAAUCCUACAAUGUUAUUGUUGCAUUAAUAUAUAGUUUAUACAAGAUUUUUUAAGUUUAUAUUAUCAAAUAAAUUAAAAUUAAGCUUACAUAAACCUCUUUAGCUUUGUUAACAUGAAAAGUCUUCCCCUCGUGAUCCUUAGUAUGAGUAAACAUGAAUAUAUAUCAUAGCAUGACGGAGAUUGUCCCGUAUAUUCCUCCUACAUUGAUAUCAUACAUAUGUAAAAUCUCACCUAAAGAUGUAUAUUCAUGUGUGGCCUUGUUGGAGCUCCUUUUAAUGGGAAUGGAGACAUCUGUACUUUAAUAUAACGAGUGCAUUAGAAAUACAACAUUACAAGUUUUAAAUAUACUAAUUUGCAACAAAAAUAAUUUUGCAGGAACUUGAUACCAUUAAAAUUCAUAAUAUGAAUAAUAUUUCGUUCACAUAUUCAGUCUACACUAAUGCAUAGGGGCCUAAGCUUGUUGUUGAACUAAUCAGAUUAUAAGCAUUAUUUAAUUACGUAUUCAAGAUCAUAAGCAUAUAAAGAGUAACUAAAAGAAUUUGAUACCAUUAAAAUUGUUUCGAUACCCACAAAAAUUGAACAGAGGAAGCAAAUAAGUCGUGCCAGGGGAAAAUAAAAGAGAAGAAAAAACAUGUUGUAGUUAAUUAUCACCCUUUUUAAUAUUUGAAAGUCAAUGCUUGAAGUUACAAAAAAAAAACAUUUGGUUGUAAAUAAAGGCCUGAUUGAUUCUGGUCCUUUUCUUACUUUUGUUGUUGAUGGCUAAAGAAGAUGAUCGACGGAAGAAUAUAAAAGCGAAGGAAAAAAAUAAACCUGGAAACGCAAGGAUUAGAAGCACCGAAUAGUGGAAAGAAUGGAAACACGACCAAAGACGUAUAGUGAAAUUCUCCUCUGUGUGGGUAAGUUAUGCAUAAAUAAUGGGGGAACGGUUUUGAUGGGAGUGGAUAUAGGAUUUCUGUUUACCCGGGAGUGGGAUAGGAAACUAAAAAAAUUUGAAUAUUUUGGAAAAAAUUUGUUUGGCCAGGAGUUAUGAAAGGAAAUUUUAAAAUACAUAUUAUUUUUUCCUUAAUAUACAAUAAAUGAGGGAAGAUAUAUAAGGUAGAAU
rnacentral:lncRNA from 1 species